rnacentral:tRNA from 1 species
UCCGGAAUGGUGUAGUGGCUAGCAUUUCUGCCUCUCAUGAUCUGUCUAAUAAACAGUAUCUUUGUUCGCAGGAGACCGGGGUUCAAUUCCCCGUUCCGGAA